UACAUGCAUCUGAUGCCCUUGAACAAUGGUUUGCCUGGCCUUGAUUAAGAGUCCAUUUCUCAAUCCAAAUCAGAGAUUAUACCUUGUUUAUAAAAUGUUGAAUCCAACCAUUUUCCCCAGGUUAGGAAGUCUAAAAUGAACAUAACAAGAAAUAAUAGAAAAAAAUACAAGUUUAAACUAUUCAUUCGACUUUUGCUAUAUAAACCUAUGCCCGAGACAGAUGUGUUUUACAUGUGACACUGCCAAACCUAAGUAUGUAAACAUUCUACUAAAUUAUUUUUGAGAAGUGCUUUGAUUCAAUAUAUGCUUUCUAAUAUUUCAGCUGAAACCCUGCUGCCUUGGCAGUUUGAACAAUACAGGGGUUCCUUGAAUGCUGACUAAACUGAUACCCUCUGGAGAGGCAUUUAACUCAAAGGGCCAGAGCUUCUACCAGAGGUGCUGUGGCACAUCGGGAAGAUGGCACAUAUCCCAGUGACCCUGCAUGUGUAUGAAUGACAUGAGCACAGUGUAAUUCGAGUUCUAGAGAGAUGACUAAGAAAUGGUCUGCUAUUUUGUGUUUUAAAAUUUUAGUUAUAUUUUGUAAAAGAAAAAAUGAAGCUAAAUAUAUGAAAACUUAUUUUAAUAGUAUGAAGGAAACAAAAAUAAGUAGACAUCAAGGAAAACUUGAUAAGGUGUAAAGGAACCUAUUCCCAUUUCCAAUUUGUAGCAAUUCCCUUAGAAGAGAGGGCAGAGGUCUGCUUCGUCCCUUAGUUAGAUUACUGACUUUUACUGUGUUGUCUCAGGUCCUUAUCACAAAGCAAUGCUUUAAUUUUUAAUGUCCUUGUGUUUAGAGAUGAGACCCUCCAGGUGUCCAUCACCCUAAGCAUUCUGGGCUCAUUAUCAGAAACCACACAAGCAUCUCAUACAUGCUCAGGAAUUCAUCUGGAUAAAAACAGACAGAAGACAUCUCAAAAUAGUUGGGAUUUGGCAAUAUUUUGAAAAUCACUUCUGCCCUUGAAAGAAGACUUUAAAUUUGAUUAAUAUUGAUAGAAAUAUUUAGACCCCAAAAUGCAUUUGUUUCCCCCAUAGAACUAGAGAGGACAUACAUUUUACUUCUAGCAGGAAAACAAAAGGAACUUUUCCCUUGUGCUUUUCCCUGCAAAGAUUAUGUUCACCUUUGCACAACUCCGUGGCUGGGUUUUGUUUGCGCUUGUUCAACUGUGUAUGAAAGGUAGCAUAUGAAGAACGGGCUCAGACAUUGUCAGAGUAAUGGCAGGUGGUUGCUGAGGCACUAGAAGCCACUCCUUCAAGCAUUCCCAGCUUGGAAGUUUAUUUCUGCAGCCACCCACUACACCAUCUUCGAUUUAUAAGGGAAGGAAAAUUUUAGCAAUAUUUACCUUAAUUUCCCCUGGCAAUUAAGCAGUUACAAAAGACCUUAAAUGUUUUAUUUACAAAAUUCUUUUCAUCAUACUUCCCCCACCUGAUUUUUCUCUUUUAUCCUGCACAUUUAAGAAGAGCACCCAUGCCAGCCCAGGAAAGGAUUUGGCAGUGAGCUAAAUGUCCUUUAAUUGUUAGCAGUUAGGAUGGUGGUCAGCCUUCUCCAAACACAGAAAAGGGAUUAGAGUUGCUUUCUUGGGCCAAGGAUUACUUUGUCUUAUCUGUGUUUACAAGAAAUUUCUAUGUUUACAUGCAACUGUUUAUAAAUAUGUUAUCUAAUAGUCUUCUGAGAAUUGGACAGGUUUCUUUGCUGACUUUUAAUUUAAGAGAAAGGGCAGACAUGAACAAAUGAUGAUUUCUUGGUAUGUACAGUUCUAAGGGCCAUUGGGUUGUCACCCUUUGGGUAAAGAGCUGCCUAAAACAAGAGGGCAAAAAGCCAAAUCAGUUGUUGGGCAGGAAUUUGUCAGUUUAAUGGCUCUGCACAAAGACAGCCUGUCAUUAAAAUCCCCAACACACAAACAUACACAACACACACACACACACACACACACACACACACACACACACACACACACAUGCACGCACUACUUAAAGACUACUUAAAGUCAAUUCAGUCCUGCCUUGGCUCUGCUGGCAUUAGAGGCUCUGCUGGCAUCAUUCUCCUCCACCAUGCAGUGGGAAACAUUUCAUUUACUACAGCAUUUCAAAUAGUCACUAGAGGAAAUAUAUUUUUUAUUAUUUCAUGUAACAACAAUGGAAUAGAGAUCACCAGAACUCCCUUGAGAUGCAUUUUGCACAAAACUUACCUGCCUACUGACAUGCAAAUAUAGACUCGGUGUGUAAUCUGCGCAGAUGAUGUCUCACCCAGCUUAAAGGGCUUACUCACCUCAGUUGUUUUUCAUUCUUUGAAAUUAAUAUGCAAAGUGUCCUUUGCUGACUCAGUUGUCAAGGUCAAAGGUUGUACCAGGUGUUAAGAUUUCUUUGGCCAAACUUUCUAAGAGUUGUCAUUUAUUUCCUCUCUGAUCUCUCUGGGGAAGAUCUUUAUUAAGAAUGUCAUCUGAAGAGGUUGACUUGUGUGACUUCAUCUCUCCCUUUGUGCAUCAUAGUUACCUGUGGCCCUGGGAUAGUGACAACAUGACACUCUCUGUGUUGUUGCCCUUCUGGACCAUGUUAGCAUCUUUUGCUUCCUCCUUUCAUUCAGGCAUUGUAAACAUCUUCCUUGCACUGGGAAUGUGAGGACUUGGCUCACUGUGCUUGGCCUCCACUGAGGCAUAAAGAGUCACCUCCACUCAGCUUCCCUCAUGAGUGCUAAAAAAUUAACUCAAGAAUUUUCCGGUUGCCUCUCCUUGCCAUCAGCAUGGCCAGUUAGAAGGCUCUGCAUAAGAGAAUCCAAAUACCUCAGUUAGCCUUGGUCCUUCCCUUACUCAGCCCACUAAGAAAGGACUCAAUGAUCUGGUUAACUCAGCCUUGGAAAUUUUAAUUCCCUAUAUAAAAAUAUUGACAAACCAGUGAGGGAUGAACAAGGUCUUAGCUUAGUGUCCCUCAAAUGCUGUGUGGCAGAGCAGACUGCUCAGGAGAACCUCAGGGUGCUCAGUGUGUCCUCAGAGUGGUCAUUGAUUGUGUCACAUGGCUCUGCUCUCCAGACUUUCAGUGGCUCUCAGUUCUAGAGUGCUUCCCUGGGCCUUCCACUCUGGUAAUUGGUUCAAAGGAAAGAGUUUGUUGCAACAAUAACCACUUAGAAAGGAAACGAUUGCUCUAUCUGCAGACAGACAAAGCCUUCAAAAGGUGGUUUGGAAUUGAAUUAGGGAGAGGAGUUCUUUCUUGAACUGAAACAGGGAAGAUUAAAGUGUCACAAGCCUCCAGUUGACAGACAGCAGCUUCUAUGAUAUUGACUUGAAUCCAAUGCAAUGCAUAUUUCAUGGAUAUUCACUGUAUCUAAUACUUAAUUUUAAAAAUCCAGUUGGGGGCUGUGCUGUUAUUGGAUUUUUUUCAAUAUUCAUUAAAACACUUUAAUUUGAUCCAUUUCACCUUUGUAUGUUUUGCAUUUGUACCUGUUGUUUAUUGUUUGUAUGUUGGAACAGAAUGGUGGUGAAUCAAGUCACACAAAUACUUCUAAAACUUCUGACAGUGGCCAGCCCUUGCUCAACUCUUCUGUGUGCUAGUGCUCCUGGGAACACUACUGAGUAACUCCACAGCCAAUAUGAGAUGACACUGUGUCCCUGAUAGGACUUUAAUUCGAACUUUUUGUUCCUUCUGACCUUUUCAUUGAAGGCUCUCUCUCCACAUCCCCCCCCCCUCUUUCCUUAGUCUCUGGGGCAGGGCUGUAACUGUUGAGUGUCCAAUGAUAACACAAGAGCUAAGAGCUCCUGAAGCCAUUGACCUCAUUCACUUCUAACAGGAAAAGCUAACUCACAUCCAAGCUGAUGAUAAUCAGCUUUGUGUCUAAGACAUUGGUGCUUGGAUCACAUACAGGGGAACCUGUAGCCCCCUGCUCCUCUGUGAUCCAUAAGCAAACAAAAUUGGCUUCCUUCUCUUUGGAGCACCCUCUCCUUCCAGGUAUUAACAUAGGAAGUACAGAUAGAAGUCUCUUCUGUUGUCAUGGCAACUCUCCUUCCCUGAUAGGAUUUUGGCCAUUCCAGGCACGCUUCACUUGCUUUCCUAUCUUAAGCCUAGACUAGCCUUGUUUUGAGUAUUCCCUGUUAUUGUCAUUGUAGUGAGAACAUUCAGCAUGACGUCUGCCCUCCUCAGUGUUUACAUGUACAGUACAGUGCACGUGACUAUAGGCACACUGCUUGUAGCAAACCUCUAGAACUUAUGCAUAAUGGACAUUUUAUGGCUCACUAAUCAGCCAUGCCCCCUCCUUCAGCCCUGAUAACCACCAUUCUGCUCGCUGAGUCUAGGAGCUGGACUGCUUCUAAUAUCUCAGAGCGGUGGCAUCUGGUAGAUUCUGUGCUUCAGUGACUCACUUAUUUCACUGAGCACAACAUCUCCCAGAUAUAGUGUCCACCUGGUCAUGUGUUCAAGAGUUCUCCCUUUCUGGAUGCUGAUUCCAUUGUGCUGCAUGUAUACCGCAAUUUAUGUUUACAGUCACCUCCCAACAGACAUGAUACUGUGUCUUGGCUACUUGGAAUAAUGUCCCAGUAUCCAGGAGGAUGGAAAUAUCUUCUCAAGAUCCUGACCUCAAGCCUUUCAGAUAAAUACCCCAGAGUGGAAUUGCUGGGCCAUACAGUAAAAGCCUCAAAGCCUUUGAGGACCUGUGAUCAUGUUGGGUUUUCCACAGCCAAUGCACUGUUUUGCACCCCUAACAUCAAUACAUGAGGGUCCAGCUUCUCCACCACAACUAGCUGUCUGUUAUUUUCCUAAGCAGGCAGCAGCUGAGUUAUCCCUUGCCCUGGUCCAACUCUGAAUUCCAGAUGUAAGUACCUGCCACCACAAACCAACCAUCCUGUUUCCUCAGUGGCCCUGGAAUUUUGAUCUGAUUCAUGAGUUCACUCAGCUGGCAUUUACUGAGCACAUCCUAGCUUUUUAUGGUUGAUUCUGCUAGCUUCCAUAGGCUGGGUUUCCUGUAGUGGUAGAAAUAAAACUCCCUACUUUGUUUUAUAAUGUUAUCCUGAUGGCUCACAAGAACCGUAUAAGGCUUGUUGUGGCUCCAUUUCCCAGAGGAAGACACUGAUUCUUGAGAAGGUUGAAGACCAUUGAGGCCUGAGUCACACAUUGAGUAAUAGGGGCAGCAUUUGAGCCUGACGCCACAGCUCAGCCUUUAAUUAGAGAUCUUUUCUCGGCCAUCACACACCUUUUGAAUUACUCAUUUUCAGUGAGAAACUGAUUGAUGGUCUCAAUUAUAAGAAACAUUUUUAUGGUGGUGGGUGUCAUUUAAAUGAGUCUUUCAAUUAAAACUGAACUGGGUUUUUAAAUAGCCGUUGAUGGCCUUCAUAAAAAUCUAUGUUAACAAGUCUAAAAGGUUGAUUCAGGGACAAGCAAACUUUUUCCUAUCUAGGUCAGUUAAAAUUUGGGGUCAUAGCUUCCAGUUACUUAGAUUGUACUUAGGGACUAUAUAAGCUUAUCUCUGUUUUGCCAAUAAUAUAACCAGAAAAGCAAUUUCGGUGGAGAAUCCAUUAGGUCUUGACCUUGUUUCCUUUCUCUCUGAUCCCAGGGAGAUGCCUUUCUCAGUAUUUAGGGAAAAUCAGUUUGAAAUUGCAUCAAUAUCACAACUAACAAGAUUAUUUUACCCAUAUACAUGCUACCUACCUUUGGUGGACUUUUCCCCUGGCUCAAUGUGGUGGGACAUUGGGAGAAUCAAUGCUGGUCCUUCUCUCCCUGUUGUAAGCUGGGAGGAGUUGGGUGGUGUGUUUCUGCUCUGUAUGAGAACACACAUUUCUGAUGCUGUUGUGGUUCCUGGAUCUUUGAGAUGCAUCCAGCUUUCUCAGGCAUUUUCAAAUCUGGGUCACUUAAUAAACUCAAGUAGAAAUACAUAUGUGGUCCAAUAGCACAGGGUUAUGGAAGGUAAAUUAUCACUGUGUGCAAUGUAUACAACGCCUGUACCUGUGACACUGCCUAGGUAGCCAGGUGGAAUUAAUGAAUGCUCUUAACUGCCUAUCAAAGAACUACUGAACAUUUUCAUUGCUUCCAGAAUAAACUUAGCAGAGCUGAUCUGAUUGAUAGUGGUGGAUUUAGGAAGAAUGUCAGUGAAAAUGACUGAUGUUGAAACCCUGUGGUUUUCAUUUGUCAUCACUAGCCCACCACACCCCCUGUGAACUUCAGAUUAUCUGUCUGACUCCCAUGCAGCAUCGUAGUCUGCUAUGAGGAAGUGCAGGCUGUUUGGCAGUGGUGACUAAGAAAACCCAAGCAGAAACUCCUGGCCGGAGAGCCUCUGAGGACAGGGCUUGGCUUGCAUCACUUUUGUGCAGAGGAGGAAAAUUGCUGGUAAUUGGUAGGUUUAUAUAUAUUAUUUUUAUAAUAGAGUGUUAAUUCUCUAAAAAUCAUCAAAAAGUUAGUCUUCUAGAAAGAACUCUAUGCUUUCCAAACCUACUUCAAAGAAGGGGGUCUAAACACCAUUAGGGUCCUUUAUCCUUCGCUACUCCAAUGGUCUAAUGGGAUAGAUGAAUCAAUGUUUAUAUUUUUAAACCUGUAAAUAUUUUUAUUUUGAAUAUUUUGUAUAUUUGUUGAUAUAAUUCCAUUUUGUGCAUAUGUACUAUUGUGCAUGUUGCUGGUUUUGAUAGCCACUCUUUUAACAAAUGUAAACAGGUUGGACUAAUGGGCUCUCCUUUCAUUCUUCUUACAUCAAAAAUACUACGUUGCCAUUUAAACUGUUGUGUUUAAAUUCCGUCAAUAAAUUCUGUUGCUCCUUUG
ensembl:lncRNA